GGCACAGUCCUCUGCUGUCUUCCCAGGGUUGACCAUCUGGUCCUGAUUCAGCCUGGUUCUAGGACAGAAAGUCUCACCACCAGAGAGACCCCUUCAGUCCUGGGGAAACCUGGAAGGUUGGUUGGGGGACCAGACACCCUUCUGUAGCCUCUGCACCACCUGCCGAUUGAUGCUGUGUUCCUGUAAGGGCUGUGUACUUGGCAGGACUCAGCUUGGCACGGGGGCUUUUCAGUUCCAUGCAGCUACUUCUGGACUUCUUCCCUGGCCCUUGGGCACAGUGGCUUCCCAGGCUCAGUGUGGGAAUCCCAAGGGAGGGCUCUGAUUGGGCCAUCCCGGAACUGCGGAUUUUGACUAGCCAGGAGAGGGCUGCUUCUAGGAGAAGGGAUACAAGAAGCUGUCACAGAGCCACUUGUAUGGAAGACACCAUUUCUAUAGAAUGAUGUUGAUUAUCUCCAUUUUACAGAGGGAGAAACUGAGGCUGGGGGAGGAAAAAACUUAAUCCACAUCGCAUGGCUUGAAGCGGUGAGCUGAGAUUUGAACUCGGAUCCAAAAGACUCCAAAAUGCUUUUCCCUCCGUACCCCAGGCCUGUUCUAUGGGGAUUCAAGUAGAGGGCCUGUGAAAAGUGGCUGACUUAACCUCAGAUAAGGUAAAGGCCUCCCUUCUGUUCCCUUGGCUUCCCGGCCUGGCUUUGUAGGUGUCAGUUCCUGUCUUGGCCUCUAGAUGUCGCCCGCCUCCAACGUCCGGUUUCGGUGGCGUGGUGCUCUUCCCUGGGUUGGCGGGCAGAACCCACUAACUCUGUGCCUGACCCAGCUCAGGUGGAAGGGCUGGGCCUCCUCCUGCAGGCCCCUGAGGCCCCAAACACUGUCUCUACCCCAGAAGGCUGCGCAUCUGGGCGGCAGGGGAGGUGCGCGGGCCACUGCGUGGAUCCCCGGCCCCUCCCCGCAAAGAAACUCCGCCAGCCCCGUGCCCACAUCUCACCCGCCUCAGAGCCUUUAGCCUUCCUUUGCCGACCCCACAGCGCCGGCCCACGUAGGCUGGAGGAGCCCUGGACAUUCCGGCCUCUGCCUAUAUGUCCUGGCUUAGAGGGGUGCCCCGGCCGCCUCUAUGGAGUUACUGGGCAGCCCUGGGGGACUCAUCGACUCUGCUGCUUGAAUUCCUCCAUAGCACGCGGCAGAUGUGAAUUGGACAGUCAUGGACUUGGAUGUACCAAAAGAGUCGUGUUAUUUCUCUACAGCACAAUUCUGCUUGACUCACAGCUCCCGUUUCUACUAGAGAGCAGCUCUUUGACAAUCUGAGGUAAGUCAGCCACUUUUCAUUUUAGUGGGGUCGCUUUAGGUGAAUG
rnacentral:lncRNA from 9 species